rnacentral:tRNA from 1 species
GCCUGAGUGGCUCAAUCGGUUAAGCGUCUGACUUUGGCUCAGGUCAUGAUCUCGCAGCCGGUGGGUGAGUUCAAGCCCUGCCUCAGGCU